CCAGACGGCCGGAUGACCGCUCUUCGGGCAACCGAAGGGAGGAAAGUCCGGGCUCCACGGAAACACGGUGCCGGGUAACGCCCGGCGGGGGCGACCCCAGGGACAGUGCCACAGAGAGCAGACCGCCGCCGCCGCCCUUCGGGGCGCCGACGGCAAGGGUGAAAGGGUGCGGUAAGAGCGCACCGCGGUCCCGGCAACGGGAACGGCACGGCAAACCCCACCGGGAGCAAGACCAAAUAGGGGCGGCAGGCCGGAGCGAUCCGGCGCCUGCGUUUCCGCAAAGCCGCCCGGGUCGGUCGCGCGAGGCGUCCAGUAACGGACGUCCCAGAUGAAUGGUCAUCCCCCACCGCCAAGGUGGGGACAGAACCCGGCUUAUAGGCCGUCUGGCACU
rnacentral:RNase_P_RNA from 1 species